CUAAGGGUCACCAGAAUCUGGAACACAAUCCCAGCAGAGGCAGUACAGUCACCAUCCUUGGAGAUAUUCAAAAUAACUGAGGCUGGACGGGCACUUCAUUGAGCUCGUCUGAGCUCAGUAACUUCCUGCCUAUGGCAGCGGGGGUGGACUUGAUCUUACAGGUCCCUUCCGGUUCUAUGAUUCUAUGUUGGCUUAUCAAGUAAAUAUAGACUAUUAGCAGUUUCUUUGUCAGUAUUGAAAGGUAGUUAUGCAUACGCUGAUAGAUAUGAAUAUAUAUCCAGAACCGAAGAUUGUUUUAUUGUUUUAUGUCUCUAAGGGAUAAUAUAGUAUACUCUUCGUCUAGUAAUAAGUAAAAUCAACAGAAAUAAGUCUAAAGGCUUAACCUC